UCCAGGGUAUCCUUGGAUGCCUCACCAUCUCCUAUCGCCCCUCCAAAUAGCACACUGCUAGGUGGCUCUGGGACAGAGAGCAUUCUGGACAAAGUUUAAAGUGGACCACGGUUGAUUCGCAAUCCAAGCCAGUUCCAGGAUGUUUGGGGGUUGCUCCUGGUCAGGCCUGCCAUGCCUCUGGAGCCUUCAUGCGGGUCUACGAUGCUUUGGAAGACCAC